rnacentral:rRNA from 1 species
CCUACGGGUGGCAGCAGUGAGGAAUAUUGGUCAAUGGCCGGAAGGCUGAACCCGCCAAGUCGCGUGAGGGAAUAAGGCCCUAUGGGUCGUAAACCUCUUUUGUCAGGGAGCAAAGGCGUCCACGUGUGGACGAGUGGAGAGUACCUGCAGAAAAAGCAUCGGCUAACUCCGUGCCAGCAGCCGCGGUACUACGAAGGAUGCGAGCGUUAUCGGGAUUUAUUGGGGUUAAGGGGUGCGUAGGCGGAAUGUCAAGUCAGCGGUAAAAUUUCGGGGCUCAACCCCGUCGUGCCGUUGAAACUGACGCCCUUGAGUGAGUGAGAAGUAGGCGGAAGGCGUGGUGUAGCGGUGAAAUGCAUAGAUAUCACGCAGAACGCCGAUUGCGAAGGCAGCUUACCGG